CUUCCAACAUACGGAAUGGAGCAAAGGUGACCGGGUGUCACUUCCAUGAUUAUAUCACGUAAGUCCAAAUGCAGCCAAUCACCAGCCACCUACGCCAUCACCUGGCGGAAGUGGCUGAGGGAAUCAGCUGUGCACCUGGAAGAGGAAAGGCAGCUGCUGGGAUACUGGAGUCAGAAUAUGGUCAACAGUAUAAAUGGAUGGAAAGGAUCAACAAGGUCAUGGCCACAACAGCUUUUGUAAGGAGCAUAGUCUGUCUACUUCCCUAAAGCCUUAGUCCUUAAGCUGCU